rnacentral:rRNA from 1 species
GAAGAAAGCUUGCUUUCUUUGCCGGCGACCGGCGCACGGGUGAGUAACACGUAUCCAACCUGCCCUUUACUCGGGGAUAGCCUUUCGAAAGAAAGAUUAAUACCCGAUAGCAUAAUGAUUCCGCAUGGUUUCAUUAUUAAAGGAUUCCGGUAAAGGAUGGGGAUGCGUUCCAUUAGGUUGUUGGUGAGGUAACGGCUCACCAAGCCUUCGAUGGAUAGGGGUUCUGAGAGGAAGGUCCCCCACAUUGGAACUGAGACACGGUCCAAACUCCUACGGGAGGCAGCAGUGAGGAAUAUUGGUCAAUGGGCGCUAGCCUGAACCAGCCAAGUAGCGUGAAGGAUGAAGGCUCUAUGGGUCGUAAACUUCUUUUAUAUAAGAAUAAAGUGCAGUAUGUAUACUGUUUUGUAUGUAUUAUAUGAAUAAGGAUCGGCUAACUCCGUGCCAGCAGCCGCGGUAAUACGGAGGAUCCGAGCGUUAUCCGGAUUUAUUGGGUUUAAAGGGAGCGUAGGUGGAUGGUAAGUCAGUUGUGAAAGUUUGCGGUACCGUAAAAUUGCAGUUGAUACUGUCAGUCUUGA